AACAAACGCUGGCGGCGUGCCUAACACAUGCAAGUCGUACGAGAAAGUCCGCUUCGGUGGAUAAGUAAAGUGGCGCACGGGUGAGUAACGCGUGGAUAACCUACCCUUUAGUCCGGAAUAACUUACCGAAAGGUGAACUAAUACCGAAUAAUAUCCCGGUUUCCCCGGAGAUCGGGAUCAAAGAAGGCCUCUGCUUGCAAGCUUUUGCUGAAGGAUGGGUCCGCGUACCAUUAGCUAGUUGGUAGGGUAACGGCCUACCAAGGCAACGAUGGUUAGCGGGUCUGAGAGGAUGAUCCGCCACACUGGAACUGAAACACGGACCAGACACCUACGGGUGGCAG
rnacentral:rRNA from 1 species